AAAAAAUGACUAAUUUCUUCAUAGAUAUAAAGAAGAUUGAAGAUUUGUUUGUAUACAUUGUUUCUUGUGGAAAGUCUUCUAAAGUGUAGAAGGAGAAGAGAAUGAUGGAGGAAGAGUAAAUGUUUCAAGACCCCCAGGCCAAAGACCAGCUCCUAGGCCUCAGACUGGUCGAUAAUAAUUAAUGUUGUGAUUAUUAUUUCAAAAAACUUUGUUGUUUUCUGAUCGAAAAUAAUUAAUGUUAUGAUACUUUUUAAGAUUGUAAUUCUUAAUCUGUUUUAAAAAGAACAAUUUAAUUGUGCAACAUUUAUUUGUACAAUUACACCCAUAUAUAUGUAAUAUAUACCUUUUAUCAAUUUGUAGUCUAUGUGUGACUUGUUUAUACACAUAUACAAUUACAUACAAGGUCUGUUUUAAUGAAAGGUAAUUAUUCAACCUUAA